rnacentral:rRNA from 1 species
UACGAAGGGUGCAAACGUUGCUCGGAAUUAUUGGGCGUAAAGCGCACGUAGGCGGCUUUGCAAGUCGGAUGUGAAAUCCCUCGGCUCAACCAAGGAAGUGCAUCCGAAACUGCAGAGCUUGAGUACCAAAGAGGAUCGCGGAAUUCCCGGUGUAGAGGUGAAAUUCGUAGAUAUCGGGAGGAACACCAGUGGCGAAGGCGGCGUCUGGGUGGAUACUGACGCUGAGGUGCGAAAGCGUGGGGAGCAAACAGG